AAAGGAGCAAUCCGCUGAAAGAUGGACUCGCGUCCGAUUAGAUAGUUGGCGGGGUAACGGCCCACCAAGUCGACGAUCGGUAGCCGGACUGAGAGGUUGAUCGGCCACAUUGGGACUGAGACACGGCCCAGACUCCUACGGGAGGCAGCAGUGAGGGAUAUUGGGCAAUGGGGGAAACCCUGACCCAGCAACGCCGCGUGAGGGAUGACGGUUUUCGGAUUGUAAACCUCUGUCCUCUGUGAAGAUAGUGACGGUAGCAGAGGAGGAAGCUCCGGCUAACUACGUGCCAGCAGCCGCGGUAAUACGUAGGGAGCAAGCGUUGUCCGGAUUUACUGGGUGUAAAGGGUGCGUAGGCGGAUUGGCAAGUCAGAAGUGAAAUCCAUGGGCUUAACCCAUGAACUGCUUUUGAAACUGUUAGUCUUGAGUGAAGUAGAGGUAGGCGGAAUUCCCGGUGUAGCGGUGAAAUGCGUAGAGAUCGGGAGGAACACCAGUGGCGAAGGCGGCCUACUGGGCUUUAACUGACGCUGAGGCACGAAAGUGUGGGUAGCAAACAGGAUUAGAUACCCUGGUAGUCCACACUGUAAACGAUGAUUAUUAGGUGUGGGGGGGUCUAACCCCCUCCGUGCCGGAGUUAACACAAUAAGUAAUCCACCUGGGGAGUACGACCGCAAGGUUGAAACUCAAAGGAAUUGACGGGGGCCCGCACAAGCAGUGGAGUAUGUGGUUUAAUUUGACGCAACGCGAAGAACCUUACCAGGUCUUGACAUCCAACUAACGAAGCAGAGAUGCAUUAGGUGCCCUUCGGGGAAAGUUGAGACAGGUGGUGCAUGGUUGUCGUCAGCUCGUGUCGUGAGAUGUUGGGUUAAGUCCCGCAACGAGCGCAACCCUUGUGAUUAGUUGUUACGCAAGAGCACUCUAAUCAGACUGCCGUUGACAAAACGGAGGAGGGUGGGGACGACGUCAAAUCAUCAUGCCCUUUAUGACCUGGGCUACACACGUACUACAAUGGUCGUUAACAGAGGGAAGCAAUACCGCGAGGUGGAGCAAAACCCUAAAAACGGUCUCAGUUCAGAUUGUAGGCUGCAACUCGCCUACAUGAAGUUGGAAUUGCUAGUAAUCGCGGAUCAGCAUGCCGCGGUGAAUAA
rnacentral:rRNA from 1 species